rnacentral:sRNA from 1 species
AGAGUAGAGAGUUAGCUUUCCCUUUUCAAUGUGGGUCAUUGGGUGAAACCUCAUUAGCCAAUGUGUGUCCUGUUCUCUUCACAGCUUGUCCCAACGGCCAUCCUUGCUCCGUGGGAGAGUGUGGCAGGCCGAUGGAACAGAGCAUCUGCAUUGACUGCCAUGCGCCGAUUGGAGGCAUUGACCACAAACCUCGGGACGGCUUUCAUCUGGUCAAGUAUGUGGGUCAGGAUUCUAUUUCCUAAGUACUCAAACCUUGGGGUGUUGGGCUGUUUUUAUUCCAGCUGAUAAAGUGAUACUC